rnacentral:rRNA from 1 species
UUAGGAAUCUUGCGCAAUGGGCGAAAGCCUGACGCAGCGACGCCGCGUGAGGGAUGAAGGCCUUCGGGUUGUAAACCUCUUUUAACAGGGACGAAAAAAAUGACGGUACCUGUAGAAUAAGCACCGGCAAACUCCGUGCCAGCAGCCGCGGUAAUACGGAGGGUGCAAGCGUUACUCGGAAUUACUGGGCGUAAAGCGUAUGUAGGUGGUUUUAUAAGUCUGGUGUGAAAUCCCGGGGCUCAACUCCGGAAGUGCAUUGGAUACUGUAAGACUAGAGUAUGGGAGAGGAGAGUGGAAUUCCAGGUGUAGAGGUGAAAUUCGUAGAUAUCUGGAAGAACACCAGUGGCGAAGGCGGCUCUCUGGACCAUUACUGACACUGAGAUACGAAAGCGUGGGGAGC